GACGAACGCUGGCGGCGUGCUUAACACAUGCAAGUCGAACGGAAAGGCUCCAGAUUGCUGGGGUACUCGAGUGGCGAACGGGUGAGUAACACGUGGGUAAUCUGCCCUGCACUCUGGGAUAAGCCUGGGAAACUGGGUCUAAUACUGGAUAUGACCUUUCUCCUUAUGGGGUGUGGUGGAAAGUUUUUCGGUGUAGGAUGAGCCCGCGGCCUAUCAGCUAGUUGGUGGGGUGAUGGCUUACCAAGGCGACGACGGGUAGCCGGCCUGAGGGGGUGAACGGCGACAAUGGGACUGAGAGACGGAGCAGACUCGAACGGGAGACAGCAGUCGGGAGUCUGGCACAAUGGGCGGACGCCUGAUGCAGAGGCGUCGCGUGAGGGAUGACGGCCUGCGCGGUGUGAACCGGUUUCAGCAAGGACGCAGCGUAAGUGACGGUACCUGAAGAAGAAGCACCGGCUAACUAUGUG
rnacentral:rRNA from 1 species